UAACUUAAGUCGUGAGGAAUACAACGG
rnacentral:piRNA from 1 species